GACGAACGCUGGCGGCGUGCUUAACACAUGCAAGUCGAACGGAAAGGCCUGCUUUCCCUUGUGGUUUGCGGGUACUCGAGUGGCGAACGGGGGAGUAACACGUGAGUGAUCUGCCCCCAACUUGGGUAUAAGCCUGGGAAACGGGGUCUAAUUCUCGAUAGGACUGCAGGGUGGUGCCUGUGGUGGAAAACGAUUUUCUAGUGGUUGGGGAUGAGCUGGCGGCCUAUCAGCUUGUUGGUGGGGUAAUGGCCGACCAAGGCGGCGACGGGUAGCCGGCCUGGGAGGGUCGACGGCGGAAUUGGGACAGGGACACGGCGCAGACUCGUAGGAGAGGCAGCGAUGGGGAAGCAAUGGCAGUAAGCGGGAGCCUGAUGCAGCGAGGCCGCGUGGAAGGUGACGGGGUUGGAAUUGUAAACUGCUUGCGACCAAGAGGAGGCCACCUAGUUGGAAGGGUGGUGACGGUAGUGGUAGAAGAAGCACCGGCUAACUACGUG
rnacentral:rRNA from 1 species